rnacentral:lncRNA from 1 species
UCUACUGCUUUCAUUAUGUCUACUGUGAGCACUCGGUUUAGGUACUGGAGCUUUCCUUGGCUGUCUACACAACCUUAAUAUUCUACUCGUCUCAUGGAAGCCCCCUCCCCAUGGAGUGCUCAUUGGUAAACUUUGAUGGUGCUGUGCGUGGUCAUCAAGCUGCGGCUGGCUUUGUUGUCCAAGAUCAUUUAGGUAAAUUUCUUCUUGCGGGUGGCAAAUUACUUCCUAAAUCGUC